GAUGAACGCUGGCGGCGUGCCUAAUACAUGCAAGUCGAGCGAACAGAUGAGGAGCUUGCUCCUCUGACGUUAGCGGCGGACGGGUGAGUAACACGUGGAUAACCUACCUAUAAGACUGGGAUAACUUCGGGAAACCGGAGCUAAUACCGGAUAAUAUAUUGAACCGCAUGGUUCAAUAGUGAAAGACGGUUUUGCUGUCACUUAUAGAUGGAUCCGCGCCGCAUUAGCUAGUUGGUAAGGUAACGGCUUACCAAGGCAACGAUGCGUAGCCGACCUGAGAGGGUGAUCGGCCACACUGGAACUGAGACACGGUCCAGACUCCUACGGGAGGCAGCCGUAGGGAAUCUUCCGCAAUGGGCGAAAGCCUGACGGAGCAACGCCGCGUGAGUGAUGAAGGUCUUCGGAUCGUAAAACUCUGUUAUUAGGGAAGAACAAAUGUGUAAGUAACUAUGCACGUCUUGACGGUACCUAAUCAGAAAGCCACGGCUAACUACGUG
rnacentral:rRNA from 1 species